rnacentral:rRNA from 1 species
ACGAAGUCGCAAGACUUAGUGGCGGAAGGGUUAGUAAUACAUGGGUAACGUACUUUUAACACUGGGAUAACGAUUGGAAACGAUCGCUAAUACCGGAUGUGGUGGCAGAAGGCAUCUUCUGUUUAUUAAAUGUGGGGGAUCGUAAGACCUUGCGGUUAAAGAGCGGCCCAUGGGAUAUCAGCUAGUUGGUGAGGUAAAGGCUCACCAAGG